CCUACGGGUGGCAGCAGUGAGGAAUAUUGGUCAAUGGGCGGGAGCCUGAACCAGCCAAGUCGCGUGAGGGAAGACGGUCCUAUGGAUUGUAAACCUCUUUAGGCGGGGAGCAAUGCCGGGCACGCGUGCCCGGAGGGAGAGUACCCGCAGAAUAAGAAUCGGCUAACUCCGUGCCAGCAGCCGCGGUAAUACGGAAGGUCCGGGCGUUAUCCGGAUUUAUUGGGUUUAAAGGGAGCGUAGGCCGGUCUUUAAGCGUGCCGUGAAAUUUUGUGGCUCAACCAUGAGAGUGCGGCGCGAACUGGAGACCUUGAGUGCGCGGAAGGCAGGCGGAAUUCGUGGUGUAGCGGUGAAAUGCUUAGAUAUCACGAAGAACCCCGAUUGCGAAGGCAGCCUGCCGCAGCGUUACUGACGCUGAAGCUCGAAAGCGCGGGUAUCGAACAGGAUUAGAUACCCCAGUAGUC
rnacentral:rRNA from 1 species